AUUGAACGCUGGCGGCAGGCUUAACACAUGCAAGUCGAACGAGUGGCGGACGGGUGAGUAAUGCUUGGGAAUCUGGCUUAUGGAGGGGGAUAACGACUGGAAACUGUCGCUAAUACCGCGUACUAUAGGAUGAACCCAUGUGGGAUUGGUUAGUUGGUGGGGUAAUGGCUUACCAAGCCGACGAUCUCUAGCUGGUCUGAGAGGAUGACCGGCCACACGGGGACUGAGACACGGCCCGGACUCCUACGGGAGGAAGCAGUGGGGAAUAUUGCGCAAGGGGGGCAACCUGAUGCAGCCAUGCCGCGUGAAGGAAGAAGGCCUUAGGGUUGUAAAGUUCUUUCGGCGACGAGGCGUUAACCACAGAAGAAGCACCGGCUAACUCCGUGCCAGCAGCCGCGGUAAUAC
rnacentral:rRNA from 1 species